GCUUGGUGAUAAUGGAAAAAGGGACACACCUGACCAUUCCGAACUCAGAAGUUAAGCCUUUUAUCGCCGAUGGUACUAUACACAAGAGUAUGGGAGAGUAGGUCGUCGCCAAGCU
rnacentral:rRNA from 1 species